ACGAGUGGCGGACGGGUGAGUAAUGUCUGGGAAACUGCCUGGUGGAGGGGGAUAACUACUGGAAACGGUAGCUAAUACCGCAUAACGUCGCAAGACCAAAGAGGGGGACCUUCGGGCCUCUUGCCAUCGGAUGUGCCCGGAUGGGAUUAGCUAGUAGGUGGGGUAACGGCUCACCUAGGCGACGAUCCCUAGCUGGUCUGAGAGGAUGACCAGCCACACUGGAACUGAGACACGGUCCAG
rnacentral:rRNA from 1 species